UUCUAUUCUGUUGUAUGCAGUAUAAAUAUUGAUACAUGGGUUAGACUUUCUCAAGUCUAUUUAUAGAAACUCAGCAAUGUAAGGAGACUUCCAAGGCUGAUGUAGUGGAAUCAGCAGAUUGCAUGGGACUGACAGAUUUUAUAGGAUCUGCUGGUGUAAUGUUCUCUUUAACAAUACCCCCUCCAGCAAAUCGACCUUUUCCAUAAAGAAGAAUGUGGGAAACCUCAGCAAACUCCCAAGUGGCAUCUACUAGAGAUAAACUCUUCUAGCGAAUCAAUAGAUGAGUUGUUGCUUAAUUGCCUCUUUUAACCAUUCUUCGAUCGAAAAGAGCUUGAGGUUGGAAGCAAUGCUCAUGAGGGUUAAUUGGCACGUCCUUCUGAACAAUCUUAUGAAGAAGGUAGUUGUAGCUUAUAAGUCAGAGUUCCAAUCUUCUCCAUUCUGCGCACUAUUGAUAUUUUCUGGUUUACUUCUCUAGUAGAUAGGACAUUCUCUCACAAAUUGUCUAAUCAGUCUUUGUUGAUGCUUCCAAUAGAAAAGACCCCCUACCCUCUUGGCAAUCA